AUAACCCCGGGAAACUGGGGAUAAUACCGGAUAGAUCAGGAUGCUGGAAUGCGCCUUGAUCCAAAGCUCCGGCGCCCAAGGAUGGGUCUGCGGCCUAUCAGGUUGUAGUGGGUGUAACGUACCUACUAGCCGACGACGGGUACGGGUUGUGAGAGCAAGAGCCCGGAGAUGGAUUCUGAGACACGAAUCCAGGCCCUACGGGGUGCAGCAGGCGCGAAACCUUUACAAUGUGCGAAAGCAUGAUAAGGGAACUCCGAGUGCCAGCAUCUAAUGUUGGCUGUCCUUGUGCCUAAAACGCACGAGACAGCAAGGGCCGGGUAAGACCGGUGCCAGCCGCCGCGGUAACACCGGCGGCCCGAGUGGUAGCCGCUAUUAUUGGGUCUAAAGGGUCCGUAGCCGGUUCGGUAAGUCCUCUGGGAAAUCUGGUUGCUUAACAAUCAGGCUGCCAAGGGAUACUGCCGAACUUGAGACCGGGAGAGGUAAGAGGUACUUCAGGGGUAGGAGUGAAAUCUUGUAAUCCCUGGGGGACCAUCUGUGGCGAAGGCGCCUUACCAGAACGGGUCUGACGGUGAGGGACGAAAGCUGGGGGCGCAAACCGGAUUAGAUACCCGGGUAGUCCCAGCCGUAAACGAUGCUCGCUAUGUGUCAGGUACGGUGUGACCGUAUCUGGUGCCGUAGGGAAGCCGUGAAGCGAGCCACCUGGGAAGUACGGUCGCAAGACUGAAACUUAAAGGAAUUGGCGGGGGAGCACUACAACGGGUGGAGCCUGCGGUUUAAUUGGAUUCAACGCCGGAAAUCUUACCGGGGGAGACAGCAGCAUGAAGGUCAGGCUGAAGACCUUACCAGAUCCGCUGAGAGGAAGUGCAUGGCCGUCGUCAGUUCGUACUGUGAAGCAUCCUGUUAAGUCAGGCAACGAGCGAGACCCGUGCCCACAGUUGCCAGCAUACCCUUCGGGGUGAUGGGUACUUUGUGGGGACCGCCGCUGCUAAAGCGGAGGAAGGAGCGGGUUACGGUAGGUCAGUAUGCUCCGGAACUCCCGGGCUACACGCGGGCUACAAUGGUUGGGACAAUGGGAAUCAACACCGAAAGGUGAAGGCAAUCU
rnacentral:rRNA from 1 species